GUAUUAAUUGCAUAUUAUUGCAAGAGACAUUCUACACUGCAUCAAUGUUUGUGUGAAAACGCAAGCCCCCCUCCGAACAAGCCGAAAGGGGGACCCACGCGGUGGUGCACAUAGGGGUGAGAUGGAUGGUGUGUGAGAGCACUCGGGCGUGCACGACAAAAAGUCAGCGACAGCCCUUGCGCCUCGGUUAUGCGAUAAUGAUCCUUCCGCAGGUUCACCUACGGAAA
rnacentral:misc_RNA from 1 species